GUCCGGCUGAUGACGAGUCCUAAAUAGGACGAAAUGCGCAUCCUGGAU
rfam:Trichobilharzia regenti genome assembly, scaffold: TRE_scaffold0015063